AUCCAGCUGACGAGUCCCAAACAGGGCGAAACGCGCGGCCUGGAU
rnacentral:hammerhead_ribozyme from 1 species